rnacentral:rRNA from 1 species
UACGGGGGGGGCAAGCGUUGUUCGGAAUUACUGGGCGUAAAGGGCUCGUAGGCGGCCAACUAAGUCACACGUGAAAUCCCUCGGCUCAACCGGGGAACUGCGUGUGAGACUGGAUGGCUUGAGUUUGGGAGAGGAAUGCGGAAUCCAGGUGGUAGCGGUGAAAUGCGUAGAUAUCUGGAGGAACACCGGUGGCGAAGGCGGCGUUCUGGACUGUAACUGACACUGAAAACGAAAGCCAGGGGAGCAAACGGG